rnacentral:lncRNA from 1 species
CCAGACAAAUGAGUGAUCCACAUUAAAUGGAAGUGAAUUAUCUAACCCGACCAAGCCUUCAGAUGAUUAUCGAAUGGGCCAACAUUGUGAUUAAAACCUCAUGAGAUACUUUAAACCAAAACAGCCACUCCCAAAUUCUGGACCGACAGGAACUACCUAUUGCUGGUUUAAGUUUUCAGAAGCUGGCCAUAAAGAAAUCUCUGACCUACCUUGACAGAUUGUAGACCAUUAGACCUUCAUUCCAGAAGGAGUCCUGCUCUAUGCCCAGAGGAAGGAAUGCUACACAGAGAAGCCAAGAAGAAUCUGAACAGACACUAAGACCUCUAAGGCAAAAGAGUGAGGAGCAAAUAUUUUUCAGGUCUUAACUGAGGAAUCCAUUGUGUGCUGAAAACAAUGCAAAUCUCUGAAGAUAAAAAAAAGAGAGAGAGAAUGACACAGCUUCUGUACUCAAUGAGAGAAAGGAUUACAAGGUGUGAUGAGAGUUCCUGACUAACUCAACUAGAGAAGA